UAGGGUAUACGACGCGAUACGAUAGUG
rnacentral:piRNA from 1 species